AUAUUGGACAAUGGGCGAAAGCCUGAUCCAGCCAUGCCGCGUGUGUGAAGAAGGUCUUCGGAUUGUAAAGCACCUUAAGUUGGGAGGAAGGGCUUUAGGUUAAUACCCUGAAGUUUUGACGUUACCAACAGAAUAAGCACCGGCUAACUCUGUGCCAGCAGCCGCGGUAAUACAGAGGGUGCAAGGGUUAAUCGGAAUUACUGGGCGUAAAGCGGGCGUAGGGGGUCAAGUAAGAUGGGUGGGAAAUCCCCGGCCUUAACCUGGGAACUGUUUUAUAAACUGCGGGGCUGGAGAACGGUAGAGGUUAGUGGAAUUUCUGGUGUGGCGGUGAAAGGGGUAGAUAUAGGAAGGAAAACCAGGGGCGAAGGCGACUACCUGGACUAAUCCUGACACGGAGGGGCGAAAGGGGGGGGGCAAAC
rnacentral:rRNA from 1 species